rnacentral:rRNA from 1 species
UACGUAGGUGGCAAGCGUUGUCCGGAUUUACUGGGCGUAAAGGAUGUGUAGGCGGAUAUUUAAGUGAGAUGUGAAAUCCCCGGGCUUAACUUGGGGGCUGCAUUUCAAACUGGAUGUCUAGAGUGCAGGAGAGGAAAGCAGAAUUCCUAGUGUAGCGGUGAAAUGCGUAGAGGUUAGGAAGAAUACCAGUGGCGAAGGCGGCUUUCUGGACUGUAACUGACGCUGAGGCAUGAAAGCGUGGGGAGCAAACAGG